rnacentral:rRNA from 1 species
GAUGAACGCUGGCGGCGUGCCUAAUACAUGCAAGUCGAGCGAACGGACGAGAAGCUUGCUUCUCUGAUGUUAGCGGCGGACGGGUGAGUAACACGUGGAUAACCUACCUAUAAGACUGAGAUAACUUCGGGAAACCGGAGCUAAUACCGGAUAAUAUUUUGAACCGCAUGGUUCAAAAGUGAAAGACGGUCUUGCUGUCACUUAUAGAUGCAUCUGCGCUGCAUUAGCUAGUUGGUAAGGUAACGGCUUACCAAGGCAACGAUGCAUAGCCGACCUGAGAGGGUGAUCGGCCACACUGGAACUGAGCCACGGUCCAGACUCCUACGAGAGGCAGCAGUAGGGAAUCUUCCGCAAUGGGCGAAAGCCUGACGGAGCAACGCCGCGUGAGUGAUGAAGGUCUUCGGAUCGUAAAACUCUGUUAUUAGGGAAGAACAUAUGUGUAAGUAACUGUGCACAUCUUGACGGUACCUAAUCAGAAAGCCACGGCUAACUACGUG